UUAGUGUCAGAAUAAAUUCUGAAGAUCUUGGGAAAUCAGCAAUAAAAACACUUUAAGGGGUGGAGCUGAGGAGAACUGGUUAAAUAAAGGUAACAGGACUGCUCUGUGAAGUGCGUGUACACGCAUGAAUGCACCUCCAAGUAGCAGCCUUGCAUAUCUCAGGGACGCAGACAUAUCCAAGAAGUGCUGAAGAAGUUGCUUUAAGCUGUACUUGAGGAGUUGAAGAUCAUUAGUGAGUCAGAUGGGAUCCAGGACAUCCUCAAGAUGAGCUGAAAAUGUCUAUCUCCUGUUCAUACCAAUAUUAUCAUGACAAGUAAACCACUUGAAGAUGGAACAGCUCAGAAGAAAGCUGAUCUUUUCAAGAAAGAAAAGUGUUUCCUUGAGCAACAAAGGGCAAACUGACCUGCUAGAUGAUCCAAUCCUUCACUGAAGUCUCUCUGGUUCUCCAAAAGUUACUAGAAAUGUAACUGUAUGAAAGUUACUGGAAAUGCAUUUUUCUUCAAAUAAAAUAAACCAAAAAUAAAUUCAGAUGUGACAUUCUGUAUGUAGGUGUGUACCCAAUCACACACAAAAAUAUCCCCUAUUUACUUAAUGUUAUUAAGGUUGCACAGUAGAUCAUCAAAAGUUCCUCAUACAACCUUAAUUCUGUCCUAUCUGCAUAUGCACUACGAUACUUUUCAAUUUCAUGAUCACACAUUAUUUUUUGCAAAUUAAUAUUCUUUUAACAUAACUUUUUGCAUGUUCUAUCCAAGUACUUUAAAAACAGAGAGAGAGAGAGAGAGAGAGAGAGAGAGAGAGAGAGAGAGAGGGAAAAACACGCUGUGUGUGACUGUGCCCCAUCCAGAAGCACAAUUCUGUGUGGCACGAGUGACAUGCUGGAAAGCACUGAAUGUUGAGCAAUUUUAGUAGCAAGCUGCUAGCAUACUCUUCUGGGCAUAACACAAACUGCACACAGCAAUUUUUGAAAACUUCUCUCUGCCAAAUCUGAACAGAUUUUGAUGCGAACAUCAACAGGC